GUCUACGGCCAUACUACCCUGAACACGCCCGAUCUCGUCUGAUCUCGGAAGCUAAGCAGGGUCAGGCCUGGUUAGUACUUGGAUGGGAGACCNCCUGGGAAUACCGGGUGCUGUAGGCU
rnacentral:rRNA from 1 species